UACGGAGGGUGCAAGCGUUAUCCGGAUUCACUGGGUUUAAAGGGUGCGUAGGUGGGCAAGUAAGUCAGUGGUGAAAUCUCCGGGCUUAACUUGGGAACUGCCAUUGAUACUAUCAAUCUUGAAUACCGUGGAGGUCAGCGGAAUAUGUCAUGUAGCGGUGAAAUGCUUAGAUAUGACAUAGAACACCAAUUGCGAAGGCAGCUGGCUACACGAAUAUUGACACUGAUGCACGAAAGCGUGGGGAUCAAACAGG
rnacentral:rRNA from 1 species